GACGAACGCUGGCGGCGUGCUUAACACAUGCAAGUCGAACGGAAAGGCCCUGCUUUUGUGGGGUGCUCGAGUGGCGAACGGGUGAGUAACACGUGAGUAACCUGCCCUUGACUUUGGGAUAACUUCAGGAAACUGGGGCUAAUACCGGAUAGGAGCUCCUGCUGCAUGGUGGGGGUUGGAAAGUUUCGGCGGUUGGGGAUGGACUCGCGGCUUAUCAGCUUGUUGGUGGGGUAGUGGCUUACCAAGGCUUUGACGGGUAGCCGGCCUGAGAGGGUGACCGGCCACAUUGGGACUGAGAGACGGCCCAGACUCCUACGGGAGGCAGCAGGGGGGAAUAUUGCACAAUGGGCGGAAGCCUGAUGCAGCAACGCCGCGUGCGGGAUGACGGCCUUCGGGUUGUAAACCGCUUUCGCCUGUGACGAAGCGUGAGUGACGGUAAUGGGUAAAGAAGCACCGGCUAACUACGUGC
rnacentral:rRNA from 1 species